rnacentral:rRNA from 1 species
UACGUAGGUGACAAGCGUUAUCCGGAAUUACUGGGCGUAAAGCGCACGCAGGCGGCGCGGUAAGUCUGAUGUGAAAGCCCUGGGCUCAACCUGGGAAUUGCAUUGGAUACUGGCAGGCUAGAGUGCGGUAGAGGAUGGCGGAAUUCCCGGUGUAGCAGUGAAAUGCGUAGAGAUCGGGAGGAACAUCUGUGGCGAAGGCGGCUUCCUGGACCGACACUGACGCUGAGGCGCGAAAGCUAGGGGAGCAAACGGG